rnacentral:lncRNA from 1 species
UUUACGGAUCUUAAUUACGUGAUUAACAGGUGAUUACGCAAUAAUAAAUAGUGUUUACGACGCAAAUUAACUUAAUUAGGCCUUUGGAGUGUCUAGGAACGCUUAUCCGACUCUACAGUACGCGUAUGAAGAUUCGCGUGGAAUCUGCGGAACACCAAAUGACAACGGAGUGAAACCGUACAAAAUGCUGACAACGCCGACAAAUAUGGAUGUUACGCGAUUUCCGGCCGUAUUUUAUGUAUUUUUAAUACUAAAAUUUUAUCACUUGACGUUAAAACGGAGUUCGGGUUUUGACAACGGGCCUCGUAGGGAUUACGGGCCACUUGCACACGAGACGGGCUUGUGGGCCCUGGGCCCAAGCCUACACCUGCACAUAAUAUAUUACACCUUUACUACAAGAUUUUUUUUUCUUGUGAAUCUUACCAAAAUCUUAUUAGGAUCUCUACCAGAUCUAUACUAGAUUUAGAAAAUCUAUAUGAGAUUUACGAAAUCUGUACUAGAUCCAUACUAAAUCUUACCAUAAUCUAAACAAAAUCCCUACAAGAGAUUUUGUCUCUAAAGAUUGGAACAUAGAGACUUGUGGGUAAUGAAUUGUUAUAAGAACCACUAAGCAAAACCCAAAUUUAAGUGUAUAUAAAAGGGGGGCCAUGCUUCUUUUAAUUGUGCAGACACAAACCAAACACACAUACAAAUAAAAUGAAGGCACCUCAUCUCCUUCAUCCUAAGUUCAGCUAAACACCCUCUCACAAAACAAAAUACAGACAUCAUCAUCAUCCACACUUCUAAGAAAACUCAUCAAAACCUCAAAUUCCUUACCUCCGUCUCUAUAAUCUGUUGAGAUAAACACACACACACACCUAAAAAUGAUUCCCUCCACCCCCUCUAAAGAACCCGGCCAGCCACCGCCAUGGUGGUGGCGGCGCGUGGCGACAUUGACGGACCCCCUUCUGAUGACGACCCGACGGCGGAGAACCGUCGGCAUACGGCGGCGGUGGCGGUGGAUCUUCACGACGGCACGAAGACGAAGAGAGAGAGAGAGAUGUCGAGAGAGAGACGGAACAGGGAGAGAGAACGAGAUGAGAGGGAGGAAGAAGGAGGUCGCGGGUCUGUGACGGCCGCUUCUCUUCUCCGACGGCAGCGCCGCCGCUCACGGCGGCGGCAGGGUUGAUGACAGUGGUGUGAUGGCCCGAUGAGUUUCAUGCUCAGUUCAGGUCGCAACAAUCGGUGCAAGUUGCGGGAUUUGGGACUGUGUUAUGUUUCCGAGCACACCAGUGGGUUUCGGGUCAAAUUUGAGGUUUUUGUUUCGGACGUGGUCAAACCGGGUCAACUCAAUUAACUCAGCAAGUCAACUCGGUCAACCCGUUUGACUCGGUCAACCCGUUUGACUCGGUCAACUCAGUCAAACUUUACGGCGUUUCGACACGAGAUGGUAAAGAUUAUCGGCGCGGUUUAUAUCAUUAUUUUGAUAGUUUUAUUUAUUACGUUUGAGUCUCCCUAUUUGCACUUCACAUAUGUCAGUGGCCUUGCAAACCAUUGGUGAUCACAAGUCCCCUUACACUGCUACAUACCAGGGAUUUUAUACUUACGGAAACUUUUAGUUCAUACAAAUUAACUACCAUGUUUUAUACAAAUCCAAAGAAUUAUGGGGGUAUAGAGUCAAGGUCAGGGUGGGCAUUGACGGUUA